UACGUAGGGGGCUAGCGUUGUUCGGAAUCACUGGGCGUAAAGCGCACGUAGGCGGAUCUUUAAGUCAGGGGUGAAAUCCCGAGGCUCAACCUCGGAACUGCCUUUGAUACUGGGGAUCUUGAGUACGGGAGAGGUGAGUGGAACUGCGAGUGUAGAGGUGAAAUUCGUAGAUAUUCGCAAGAACACCAGUGGCGAAGGCGGCUCACUGGCCCGUUACUGACGCUGAGGCACGAAGGCGUGGGGAGCAAACGGG
rnacentral:rRNA from 1 species